rnacentral:pre_miRNA from 1 species
GAGACACCCUUAUGGGGCAGGACUUGCUUCAGGGGGGUUUUGGCGCUCACUGAGUCUGCUCCCUGAGUGUGACUCU